AAUACUCUGUAUUAACCGAAUAUCUAAGUUUAUACUUGGAUGUCUUGUAGGUUGUAUGGGGUAUU
rnacentral:ncRNA from 1 species